GGGCCUACGGGGGGCAGCAGUAGGGAAUUUUCGUCAAUGGGCGCAAGCCUGAACGAGCAAUGCCGCGUGAGUGAGGAAGGUCUUCGGAUCGUAAAGCUCUGUUGCGGGGGAAAAAGGACAGGAAGAGGAAAUGCUUUCUGUUUGAUGGUACCCCGCCAGAAAGUCACGGCUAACUACGUGCCAGCAGCCGCGGUAAUACGUAGGUGGCGAGCGUUAUCCGGAUUUAUUGGGCGUAAAGGGCUCGUAGGCGGUUCG
rnacentral:rRNA from 1 species